GGGCGAAGCCUGACGGAGCAGACCGCGUGGGGGAAGAAGGCUCUUGGGUUGUAAACCCCUUUUCUCUGGGAAGAAAGUUGUGAAAGCAACCUGACGGUACCACGAGGAAUCAGCAUCGGCUAACUCCGUGCCAGCAGCCGCGGUAAGACGGAGGAUGCAAGCGUUAUCCGGAAUGAUUGGGCGUAAAGCGUCCGCAGGUGGCAGUUCAAGUCUGCUGUCAAAGACCGGGGCUUAACCUCGGAAAGGCAGUGGAAACUGAACAGCUAGAGUAUGGUAGGGGCAAAGGGAAUUCCUGGUGUAGCGGUGAAAUGCGUAGAGAUCAGGAAGAACAUCGGUGGCGAAAGCGCGUGACUGGGCCAUAACUGACGCUGAGGAACGAAAGCCAGGGUAGCAAAAGGGAUUAGAUACCCCUGUAGUC
rnacentral:rRNA from 1 species